ACACGCACAUACACACACACACCUGAGAUACAAUCACCCAGGAGACUCAGGAGUGAGAGCGCUGUCUGCUGCUAAACUGGACACACUCACACUGCUUGUGGACCAUGGAGGAGAGAACAGGACCAAACCAGGACCCAGGAAAUACGGCUGUCAGUUCACACUGGAUCCAAACACAGCGCAGGGAAACCUGUCUCUGUCUGAGGGGAACAGGAAGGUGACAUACACACCGGGGAGAGAGCAGCAGCCAUGGGAUUUUGAGUCGUGCUGGGUUGAGUGCAGAGAGUGUGUGUGUGAGCUCUGUUACUGGGAGGCUGAGUUCAGUGUGUCUGAGAGUGGAGAGGUUGAUAUAGCAGUGACAGAUAAAGAAAGCAGUGGGAAAGAAUGGGGUUAUGAAUGUGCGUUUGGAGAGAAUAAAAACACCUGGAGACUGGAGUGCCGUAAAUUCAGUAACCCUGAUGAACCCGGUAAGUUUUUUGACAGUUUCUCUGUCUGGCACAAUGAGGACGAAAUAGGACCACUUGACCCCUCCCCCUACCGCAAAGCAGGAGUGUGUGAUGA